rnacentral:rRNA from 1 species
UUGGAGGGCAAGUCUGGUGCCAGCAGCCGCGGUAAUUCCAGCUCCAAUAGCGUAUAUUAAAGUUGUUGCAGUUAAAAAGCUCGUAGUUGAAUUUCGGGAUCAAUAUAUCGGUCGUGCCAUCGGUACGUACUGGUAUGAUUGGUUUCUCCUUUCUGACGAACCAUGAUGUCAUUAAUUUGGUGUUAUGGGAAGUUAGGACUGUUACUUUGAAAAAAUUAGAGUGUUAAAGCAGGCUUUAGCUUGAAUACAUUAGCAUGGAAUAAUGAAAUAGGACAUCCGAUUCUAUUUUGUUGGUUUCUAGGAUCGAUGUAAUGAUUAAUAGGGAUAGUUGGGGGCAUUAGUAUUCAAUUGUCAGAGGUGAAAUUCUUGGAUUUAUUGAAGACUAACUACUGCGAAAGCAUUUGCCAAGGAUGUUUUCAUUAAUCAAGAACGAAAGUUAGGGGAUCGAAGACGAUCAGAUACCGUCGUAGUCUUAACCAUAAACUAUGCCGACUAGGGAUCGGAUGAUGUUAAUUUUUUAAUGACUCAUUCGGCGCCUUACGGGAAAC